rnacentral:rRNA from 1 species
GACGAACGCUGGCGGCGCGCUUAACACAUGCAAGUCGAACGGAAAGGCCUGCUUUCCCUUGUGGAUUGCGGGUACUCGAGUGGCGAACGGGUGAGUAACACGUGAGUGAUCUGCCCCCAACUUGGGUAUAAGCCUGGGAAACUGGGUCUAAUUCCCGAUAGGACUGCAGGGUGGUGCCUGUGGUGGAAAACGAUUUUCUAGUGGUUGGGGAUGAGCUCGCGGCCUAUCAGCUUGUUGGUGGGGUAAUGGCCUACCAAGGCGGCGACGGGUAGCCGGCCUGAGAGGGUGGACGGGCACAUUGGGACUGGGAUACGGCCCAGACUCCUACGGGAGGCAGCAGUGGGGAAUAUUGCACAAUGGGCGGAAGCCUGAUGCAGCGACGCCGCGUGGGGGAUGACGGCCUUCGGGUUGUAAACUCCUUUCGACCGCGAGGAAGCCACCUGGUUGGAAGGGUGGUGACGGUAGUGGUAGAAGAAGCACCGGCUAACUACGUG